rnacentral:lncRNA from 1 species
GUAGCUGCUGAUCCAAAGGGUGCAUCCACGCAUGGAUGUGCAGACUGAAGGAUUGUGCUGGUAGUUUUCACGGUGGUCUGCGAGCAAGCUUGCCAAAACAAGACCUCAACGUUCGCCAGUAUCAGAAACUCUAUCAAACUUGCAGACUGGGCUGGGGUCUCACGGUUCUGUUAGUGCUCAUUAACGAUCGUAAAACUAUAGCCUGCCUCGCGUAGGAAGAGCUGUAGAAGAAGUACAUACAUUGGACCUCGGAGAUUGUGGGUUCCUGAUUACACUCGAGCCUGAAUGCGUCUAGAAAAUAAUGUCUCAGCUGCAUUUUGCUCGAUGAUUUUGUAGCUAGCAUGCAUCGUCGGAGAAGACUAACUCGCUGUUGGGAUCCAUCUC